AGACAUAGAGGGAAGAUGAUGUGAAGAGAGCUGGGAGAAGACGACCAUCCACCAGCCACAGGGAGAGACCUGGAACAGACCCCCCCACAGCCCUGAGAUGGAACCAACUCUACCAACAUCUUGAUUUUGGACUUUUAGUCUCCAGAACCUCCUGGAUUGGCCCACGUGCACGUGAUUCAGCCUACUUCCUCCUUCCUUGCUCACUUCUAUAAUGAACACAGGAUAAGUGAUCUCAGAACAGAACCUGGAAAGACCUUUCCUCGAGACCUCCUCUGCCCACUGUCUCUCCAUCCCAUCUCAUCCUGUCCCCUGCUACACACAGGCCCCACAGGCCCCCUCCGGACAUCUGAUCCCAGCUGAUGCAAAGUGAGCACAGACCAUGGAAGACGCCCUGAGCUAACAUCUGUGCCCAUCUUCCUCUACAUUAUAUGUGGGACACCUACCACAACAUGGCUUGCCAAGUGGUGCCGUGUCUGCACCCGGGAUCUGAACCAGCGAACCCCAGGCCACCAAAGUAGAUCAUGCG
rnacentral:lncRNA from 1 species